CGAUUGGGUUCGCACGAUUGCCUGCCGUUUGUACCUUUUACAGCCGUGGCAACUGUUCAGCCGUUCUCUUUUCUUUACUUCUCUCCUUGCUUCUAUGUGCAUGACAGGUGGGCCUUAUUUACCCACAGGCUCUGAAAGUGUAGUUCGUUUUUGUGUUUAUUGGGUGAAAGGUGAAAGAAGGAUAAGCGUUGCGAGCAGCACGGUGAAAACCUAAUCGCCAAUCCCCUUCCGUCAUCGCAUCUCGCCCACUUCCUCCUCCCUUCGCCGCCGCCUCCCCUCCUCGCCUCUUCCCAUGCUCUACACCACCACCACCACGCCCCUGCUCCUACACCGCCUCGCCGCCGGCCGCCUCUGCGCCUGUUCGUCUGCCCCCUCGGAAGGCACCGAGUUGCGGCCAGCCCGUGCUCAGCCUCCGCCCAUGCGCUCGAGAAGAGGGGAGGGGCAGCCGCAGGGUAGGAGCAGCCACAACAGUCGCCAGUGCUGCCUCAUCUACCGCACUUCACGCCACCAUCCAUCCACCCGGUGAACUGGAGAGGCAGAUGAUGAGCGUCGCCUCGUAUCUUGGGGCUGGAUCCCGAUUCUGCCGCUCCACGGCAUGCCGUCCGCCUUUUCCUCCACCUUGUGUGGCUGCUCUGGUCGACCUCUUCCUCAUUGUAGGUGCUCAACAGGAGAAGCGCGAGCAGCCGGUGCAGCCGAGAGUUCGCCUGGUUGCAGCUCGACUUCAGCCAACAUCAGCCUUUGUUGCUGUUACUGUCCCAUUUUGAGAACCAAAGAAAUACCGCCUUUCAGCUAGAUGUGUGUUAGGUGAAUGCUGCAGGCCAUUUUGUUCAUUGGCCCGGCAUGAUUUGGAUUGCAUCACCUACAGAGUUGUAGGUCUGUGUGAUUGAUGAGCUGGCUUAGGAAGGCACAGUCGAUUAUUAUUGCCUAUUUCUCCAUUGAAAGCUGCUACUUCUUUCGUCUUAGAAGGUACUUGUGUGUACAAUGGAUACUUUUAUUGUGAUUUUUCUUCUUUGUCAUGGAGAGUUUGAAACUACUAUACAUAUUAGUCUUUUGCGAUUUCACUUUCCUAAGCUCGAGCCGCAGCGUUGGUCCACGGCGCCGGCACCAUCGUCAUCCGCAGUAAGAGUGUGGGCUACAGAGACGUCCGGCUCUCGCGCCACCGUCUGUCCACCCGAGAGGUCAGUCCUCGCGUCCUAGCCUCCAUCCUCUCUCGCUGUCACACACACCCUCUCCUCCAUCCUCACGCAUGCCCUCAACAGAAGAGAAGAUGGAGCCGGCAUGUGUUGCUGGUUCAGUUAAAAAAGAAGAAGGGCCUUUGUUGCCUGGAAAGCACUGUCGAGUCUUGCUGUCAUGUUUUCCUCUAUUCUUCUACUAGUACGCGGUAGGAUAUGCAUUUGAUCCAGUCCAUGUCUUGGUCUCUUUUUGAAGUGUGUUUAGCCAUGUUCUUCCUACAUGUGUUCAAUCCGUCGAUAGCUAGCGAAUGUUGUGCUGUGACAAAGGUGCACUCCAGGAAAAAAAUUAUUCUGCAAAGAAUCUUUAUCAACAAAGCGCAUAGGGAAGAUUGUCAGUGUCAGCGACCAAUUAUUUUGUUCAGCAGGUGUUCCCUUCAAAUGAGGCUCCAGCAAGGGGAUGCUAGCAGAUAUCAACCGGUUGGUUGAUUGUGUGCACAUUCUGUAAAGUCAACUUAAAGCUUCAGCAUGUGUGUUCAUUGUCCUCUCCAUUUCAAACAAACCAUCAGCUGUUUCUUUAAUAUUUUAUUACUUAAUCAUACUGUAGAAUUUGUUUCUCGGUGAUCUAAAACUUAUAGCCAUUAAGGGAAGCCCUUGGUUUGUAUUAGGUACUUGUGCCAUUGGGUGCAACUAUAUGAAAAAUAGUGAGAGAAUGCUGGUAGAAAUUAGCAGUAAUGUAAUUACAUAGAGAGAAGGUACUCACAUGUCACAUCAUAUUUCCCCAUGCUCCUCUUGAAUUGCAACAACUAUUGAAUUUAGUUUUAGUUCAA